rnacentral:rRNA from 1 species
GACGGAGGAUGCAAGCGUUAUCCGGAAUGAUUGGGCGUAAAGCGUCCGCAGGUGGCAGUUCAAGUCUGCUGUCAAAGACCGGGGCUUAACUUCGGAAAGGCAGUGGAAACUGAACAGCUAGAGUAUGGUAGGGGCAGAGGGAAUUCCUGGUGUAGCGGUGAAAUGCGUAGAGAUCAGGAAGAACAUCGGUGGCGAAGGCAGGUCUCUGGGCAUUAACUGACGCUGAGGAGCGAAAGCAUGGGGAGCGAACAGG